GGUGCACACAGCUACAUGUGACGACGCUGCGUGAAGCCAUAGCGAUAUAUUAAGCUAACUUAUAGUCGUGAAAUACGUAAAACUGUAAGUCGAACAAACGGACGCUGGAUCAGGCAAUUCCUGUUGCCAUGGCAUUGAGAGGAAAGGUUGCGCUCAUUACAGGUUCCAGUUCAGGAAUUGGAGCAGGAAUUGCAGCAGUGUUUGCGAGAGAAGGCGCCAAACUCUCAUUGACAGGCAGGAACCAGAAGGGUUUGGAGGGAGUGGUUAAGAAGUGCAAGACGGAAGCAUCUAACGAUGUUCUCACAAACGUGGGCGACAUUACACAGGAUGCUUUCAGAAAGACUCUGGUGGAAGCAACCAGGAAGAAGUUCGGGAAAAUAGACAUUCUUGUGAACAAUGCUGGGAUCGAAGGUGCAAGUCCGCUGCAAUCAGUGACCAAAGAGCUGUACGACAGAAUCAUGGCCAUUCACGUGGAGACACCUGUGUUUUUGACACAGUUAGUUGCACCGCAUUUGAUUGAAUCUAAAGGAUGUGUGGUUAAUAUUUCAACCUGCGGCACGAGUACAAUUGUUCCGGGAGUGGGUAUCUACGUCAUGUCAAAGGCGGCCUUGGACACAUUCACAAGAUACCUUGCACAUGAAAUGGUUUCACUCGGAGUACGCGUGAAUGCAGUCAACCCAGGUUACAUACCCACUCAAAUAUUAUCUCGCAACUUAUCGAAAGAAGAUUUGGCCAAGAUGGAGAGUGCCGUGACUAAAGCAACGCCAGUUGGUCGGUUGGGUACCGUAGAAGAAAUUGGCCACAUUGUUGCCUUCCUAGCCUCAGAGAAAGCAGCCUUUGUGACUGGAGAAUGUUUCAGGUCCGAUGAGAUACCACGCAGGCAAGAUUAAGGCGCUGGCGGUACACAAUGUGCGGUGCUCAAUCAGGUUUGAUGUCAAGGUUACACAACGACAGAGUGUUCUUACUCCCAGUACAUGCAAGAGUGCACAUAGCUGCAUGUGACUACGCCGGAUGAAGACGUAGCGAUAUAUUAAGCUAACCCAUAGUCGUGGAAUACGUAAAACAGCCGCUGGAUCAGUGAAUUCCGGUUGCCAUGGCAUUGAGAGGAAAAGUUGCGCUCGUCACAGGUUCCAGUUCAGGAAUUGGGGCACGAAUUGCAACAGUACUUGCGAGAGAAGGAGCCAAACUGUCACUGACUGGCAGGAACGAGAAGAAUUUGGAGGAAGUGGCCAAGAACUGCAAGACGGAAGCUUCUGACGUAUAUAGGAAUCAAUAGUGAAAUCUUGAGUUGAUGGAGAAAUCAGCAUCCAUUUCUAAAUAUUUAUAAAUGCCGAUUUAUUCAUGAAGACAUGACCCUACAAUACUUGCCCCUGGUUUCAUGAUUGACAGGGAUUUCUGUCCUCAAGGACAUGUUGAGGUGUGCCUUGGAAAAAAGUUCCUUUACCAAUUAUCGGCUCUAUUUCCUCACUGGCAAGUAGAGGAUAUUAUCAUUCAUUUAGAUAGAAUUGUUUUCAAUAGCGUGUUAACGAUCUGUUUCAGGAUGUUCUCAUAAACGUAGGUGACAUCACACAGGAUGCUUUCAGAAAGACUCUGGUGGAAGCACCAGGAAGAAGUUCGGGAAAAUAGACAUUCUGGUGAACAGUGCUGGGAUCGCAGGGAUCAGCCCACUGCAAUCAGCGACCAAAGAGCUGUUCGACAGUGUCAUGGCCAUAAACGUGGAGGCACCUCUGUUUUUGACACAGUUAGUUGCACCGUAUUUGAUUGAAAC